rnacentral:rRNA from 1 species
AAAUUACAUGAUUNGAGUUCAGACCGGUACAAGCCAGGUCAGUUUCAAUCUUCUAUCAUUUAGUAUACAGUACGAAAGGACCUAUAUUAAUAAUUUUAUUAUUUAUUUAGCAAAUAAUGCAUUAGAAUUAGAAUCUAAAUAAACUCUAUUUUAUUUAUUAUAAGAUAUACUACA